GUCACCUGUUACUGGGGAGAGCGCCCAGGUGCGGGGGAGGAGCUGCGCGAGCCUGCGGCAGCUGGACGCACUGACGGACCGACAGACAGACGGACUGCUCGCGGCGGCAGGCCGCACGCAGCUGCAGCGGAAGGGGCUGCGCCCCCCACCUCCGAGGAGCUCCCCUCGCAAACUUUUCUCCGGGGCUUCGAAAGCUACCUGCGCUUAUUUCCAUCUGGGGCUGGGAGGAUCUGCCGCUCUGAGAUUCAGGCUCGUCCUUAUUGGUCAGCUAAAACACCCCCCCCCACCCCCCAUUUUACAGAUCAGGAAAAGUGAGGCCCGGAAAGUGACUUGCUUAAGUUCACCCCUGUGAACAUCCAAGGACAUCUGAGGACACAGCAAGGAUGUCAGAGAACAGAGACAUUGAAGGAAAUGCUGCAGGAGUGGCCGGAAACAAACUGAGUAAACAGGGUGCGACAUCUCCCCUGCAGCUGGAGCAAACAGGAUUGGAGUUGGGAGAUGACAGCUGGAGACAGUCAUGGAAGGCCAGAGGAACUGCUUUCCAGGGUACUGAAAGUGCCAAUUGAGUCACUGUCAAAAGUCCUUGAAAGAUCUUGCAGAAUUUGAUAAAAUCCAACACCCAUUCCUAUUUAAAAAAAACUUUUGGAAUAAAUGGACUUUUCCUUAAAAUAA